rnacentral:ncRNA from 1 species
GUGUUCGUAGAAAGGAGAGACGGUUGGCAUCUCCCCUGACAGGGACGGGAACCGAGCCGUCGUGCUCUACCCUGUUCACACACAUGGUUAAGGCUACCCGCUUCGGCGGAUCUUUACCCAAUUUUUUU